AGUCGUAACAAGGUUUCCGUAGGUGAACCUGCGGAAGGAUCAUUAUCAAUGUUUAUCUUUACACCAACUUCUUUGCAAGCUUUUUCUUCUUUCGAGAAGGGAGACUUCAAAGAAGGGGGCACACAUUUGUGACAAUCAUAAAGUCCAUUUAUUUAUAUUUUUCACACCGUUGACUAAUAUACUUUUGUUUUACUUUCAUGCAUUUGUGUGUUGUAUAUUUAAUAUGUAACACUCAAUAAAAGUAGGAAGUAAAAUGAAAACAAAAAACACAAAUUACAAUCUUCAGCGAUGGAUAUCUCGGCUCAU
rnacentral:misc_RNA from 1 species